AUUGGUAAGUACUUGGUAUAAUUUGGAUUGGAAAAGUAAUUUUACUACAACAGUGUAAACUUCAAUGGUACGCGCCAGAACGCUCCCCUUGACGAGUAAAAUUGUAAAUAGCGUUAGACAGAGUAGAAUAAUAAAGUAGGGCUGGACAUGUGCAGAUGUCUGGUUAAAAUAAUACAGUAGUUCAACUUAAUGGCACUGCUCCACUCCCCCCCCCCCC